AUAAAAUAACAUCAUGUUUUUUUUAGCUAAAAGCACAUAUCAAAAGCUAAAAAAAAAAAAAAAUUAAAAAAAAAAAAAAAAAACUUUUAGACAACAUGCAGUCAUGUUAGAACAUGCUGUGAAAAAAUGGCAGCCGCUUUCAUUGAUACUCUUUGUAUAUUGAAUAUACUGAAUUUGUACUAACACUAGUACACUGAGGCACUUUAAGUGUUUUUCAUGUUAAAGGGUUAGUUCACUCCAAAAUGAAAAUUCAUUAAUUCGUCAUCAAUACUCGCCCUCAUGUCGUUCCAAACAUAGAUAUGUCUAUGUAGAUGACACAUUCGACUGCUUUAGACACUUUGGGCAUGCCCACCUUCUUGGAAAGUUCAGCGUGUCAUCACUCAGUCAGUGAUGCCACAACAUUGCUCAGAUUCUGGUUGUGAAACCGCCAAGAUUUUUUUCCGAAGAAAUGGGAUAAACUUUCACAGGUGAGAAUGUGUUAGCUGAAUCCUUUGCAUUGUUGUGUUAGUUUAGCAAAAAUCAUCUGCUGAAGUCUAUUGCAGAUAUAGAUAUUCAUACAUGCGUCUUACUAUGGUUGCAGAUGCACUGUCAACUUGCUCUCGAAUGUUUACGGAAUAGUGUUUUGACCGUUCCAAUAUGGCUGACAACUUGCAUAUAGCAGCCCAUAGAAACAGCUAUUAAUGAGACAUAUAUGUUUAUAUAUCUGUGGUUCCAAACCCAUAAGACUUUCAUUCAUCUUCGGUACAUAAAUGAACACAUUUUUAAUUAAAUCUGAGACAUUUCUGUCCCUCCAUUGACAGUCAACACAACUACCAUUUUUACUCUUCAAAAGUUCAUAAAGAGAUCGUAAAACAAAUCAUAUGAAUCGUGCGGUUUGGUCCAAAUUUUCUGUAGAGACACAACUGCUGUAUAUGAUGAAGAGAGUUCAUUUAGGCUUUUAUUCACAUAAACUUUAAUUAGCUCACAUAUCCGUUAUGAUGAACGGAAGCUCAAGCAUGCUUGCUUGAUGUGCGAGAACCAGUGAGGUUUAUUCUUGUGUGACAUGCAGCAUGUUUUUGAAGCAUCAAAGUGAUAUGGAGGUACAGAAAUCACUGAGAUUUUAUUAAAAAAAUAUCUUCACUCUAAACCCGAAUUUUGUGUUAAUGAAACAUUUUAAGUGGUCAUUACUUAUUCUUUGUUGUUUUUGAAAAAGCAUUGCCAUUACUAAAUCAAAUUAGUUGUUUGCAGUAAUCAGACGAAAUAUUGGAAGCACUGAUCAUGUUAAGCUGUGAUAACUCGGAAUGUUACGCUUUUGUAAGGGAGGGAGGGGCCUAUUGAAACAGGUGACUGACAGUGAGAAGAGCGCACUGUUUGAAGAGUCUGCUCGUCCUGCCCGAUGCUGCACGCUAAACAUGGAUUUUUGAAAGAAACUUUAAACGGUAAGUGUAUAAAUCUUAUCUUUCUGACAAAAGUGAUUACCCCAAAACCGGGCCGAUGUUAGUUGAAAGCUAAAACUGUAGUGUUAAUGUGCCGGUCAAAGUUGUUUUUUUUUUUGUUUUUUUCUGUCAGUUCACAGAUUAACUAACGUUAACAUUUAAAUUUAACGUCAGGUCACAGUUUAUAACGUUAGCCAGUGUGUUUCUGUAUGUUCACAGUUUAGCUAUAACGUUUGCUUUUCGUUGUUUUUUUUUUUCCCAGUCUGUUCAUAUCAGCAUGUGUGAAUGUAUGUACACGCUUGUGGCUAAUGUUAGCAUAUGUCUCUUUGGUGUAUUAUUAUGGUAACAGUUCAAAAAUUUGCUUCUUAAGGUCCAUAAGCCAGAUGGUGGAACGCUGUCCUGCUCUUUUUACAGAAGAUCAGGUGUUCAUGGAGUUCAACAGGAUUGUGGGAAAGAACCUAAAGCAGGAAUUCUAUGAUAGCAUUAAUCGACACAGUCUUCAUCUAAUUGAUAUCUUUCGAUCUAAGAGAGGGAAUGUUGGACAGCUGUUCACACCGCUUUCACAACAAACCAGGAUUCAAGAGCCAACUGAUAAUACGUCACUGCUCGGAGGGCUCCCAGUUGUCCUUGGUGACAACCCCACGAACUUCUUCAAAGCAUGCUUUGACUCCGAUCACUCAUUUUGCCACCUUGACUUUGGGAUCCCCCUUGUUGAGCAUGAAGGUGCUGUGCUCCCAUCUUCUCUUCAUCUCAAUCCAGCUUCAAUUAAGAUCAUCACUGAGGGAGAAGUUGUGAUGGAAGGUAUUAAAGACUUGCUAAAAGCUGUGUGCAUUCUCUUUGGACUUGCAUAUGCACUGUAUCUCAACUACCCCAAAUCAAUGAAAAACACAUUCCAGUUCACCCAACAAGUACUUCUCAUGUUGGGCCACAGUGAACUAAAACGCAGCUUACAAACAUUAAAAAAAAACAACUUACAAUUUGAUUUUCACAAAGGAAUUGUGAGAAGUUACCAUGACUGUUUUUUUGUUCUCAAGAAGGGCUAUGUGAAUCUUUGAACAGAUUCUUGUUCAGAUUGUCCAGUCACUGCAAUAAGUGCUCUAAAGUUUACAAGUGUUCUGUGUUAAAAAUGUACUGUAUGUUUAAAACGGCAUGUUGUUGCUCUAUUGAUACGAGUUAAGUUGUCAACUCAAAAGCUGUCAACAGUUUGAGGGUGUGUGUGUGUGUGCGGGAGUGUGCAUGUGUGGUCUUUUUCUUUAAUCUUUCAUUUUCAUUCAGUUUAAUGCUUGUCUGCGUAUUGUUGAAUACUGUGUUCAUUUUCCUCCUCUAAACAAUUUACAAUUGUUAAGCAAAAAGAUUUGCUUAUGCAAAAUUUUUUUAUGUGUCAACCAAAAAGACAAGUUGAGUACAUUGAAGUGUUUCCUUUUUUUCUUUUUUGUCAACAAUAAAAAAUAAAAAAAACCAUUGAAAUGUUCUUAUUGUUUUAAUU